rnacentral:rRNA from 1 species
GCCCUGGCAGUCAGAGGCGAUGAAGGACGUGCUAAUCUGCGAUAAGCGUCGGUAAGGUGAUAUGAACCGUUAUAACCGGCGAUUUCCGAAUGGGGAAACCCAGUGUGAUUCGUCACACUAUCAUUAACUGAAUCCAUAGGUUAAUGAGGCGAACCGGGGGAACUGAAACAUCUAAGUACCCCGAGGAAAAGAAAUCAACCGAGAUUCCCCCAGUAGCGGCGAGCGAACGGGGAGGAGCCCAGAGCCUGAAUCAGUGUGUGUGUUAGUGGAAGCGUCUGGAAAGGCGCGCGAUACAGGGUGACAGCCCCGUACACAAAAAUGCACAUGCUGUGAGCUCGAUGAGUAGGGCGGGACACGUGGUAUCCUGUCUGAAUAUGGGGGGACCAUCCUCCAAGGCUAAAUACUCCUGACUGACCGAUAGUGAACCAGUACCGUGAGGGAAAGGCGAAAAGAACCCCGGCGAGGGGAGUGAAAAAGAACCUGAAACCGUGUACGUACAAGCAGUGGGAGCACAGAGCAAUCUGUGUGACUGCGUACCUUUUGUAUAAUGGGUCAGCGACUUAUAUUCUGUAGCAAGGUUAACCGAAUAGGGGAGCCGAAGGGAAACCGAGUCUUAACUGGGCGUUAAGUUGCAGGGUAUAGACCCGAAACCCGGUGAUCUAGCCAUGGGCAGGUUGAAGGUUGGGUAACACUAACUGGAGGACCGAACCGACUAAUGUUGAAAAAUUAGCGGAUGACUUGUGGCUGGGGGUGAAAGGCCAAUCAAACCGGGAGAUAGCUGGUUCUCCCCGAAAGCUAUUUAGGUAGCGCCUCGUGAAUUCAUCUCCGGGGGUAGAGCACUGUUUCGGCAAGGGGGUCAUCCCGACUUACCAACCCGAUGCAAACUGCGAAUACCGGAGAAUGUUAUCACGGGAGACACACGGCGGGUGCUAACGUCCGUCGUGAAGAGGGAAACAACCCAGACCGCCAGCUAAGGUCCCAAAGUCAUGGUUAAGUGGGAAACGAUGUGGGAAGGCCCAGACAGCCAGGAUGUUGGCUUAGAAGCAGCCAUCAUUUAAAGAAAGCGUAAUAGCUCACUGGUCGAGUCGGCCUGCGCGGAAGAUGUAACGGGGCUAAACCAUGCACCGAAGCUGCGGCAGCGACACUAUGUGUUGUUGGGUAGGGGAGCGUUCUGUAAGCCUGUGAAGGUGUGCUGUGAGGCAUGCUGGAGGUAUCAGAAGUGCGAAUGCUGACAUAAGUAACGAUAAAGCGGGUGAAAAGCCCGCUCGCCGGAAGACCAAGGGUUCCUGUCCAACGUUAAUCGGGGCAGGGUGAGUCGACCCCUAAGGCGAGGCCGAAAGGCGUAGUCGAUGGGAAACAGGUUAAUAUUCCUGUACUUGGUGUUACUGCGAAGGGGGGACGGAGAAGGCUAUGUUGGCCGGGCGACGGUUGUCCCGGUUUAAGCGUGUAGGCUGGUUUUCCAGGCAAAUCCGGAAAAUCAAGGCUGAGGCGUGAUGACGAGGCACUACGGUGCUGAAGCAACAAAUGCCCUGCUUCCAGGAAAAGCCUCUAAGCAUCAGGUAACAUCAAAUCGUACCCCAAACCGACACAGGUGGUCAGGUAGAGAAUACCAAGGCGCUUGAGAGAACUCGGGUGAAGGAACUAGGCAAAAUGGUGCCGUAACUUCGGGAGAAGGCACGCUGAUAUGUAGGUGAAGCGACUUGCUCGUGGAGCUGAAAUCAGUCGAAGAUACCAGCUGGCUGCAACUGUUUAUUAAAAACACAGCACUGUGCAAACACGAAAGUGGACGUAUACGGUGUGACGCCUGCCCGGUGCCGGAAGGUUAAUUGAUGGGGUCAGCGCAAGCGAAGCUCUUGAUCGAAGCCCCGGUAAACGGCGGCCGUAACUAUAACGGUCCUAAGGUAGCGAAAUUCCUUGUCGGGUAAGUUCCGACCUGCACGAAUGGCGUAAUGAUGGCCAGGCUGUCUCCACCCGAGACUCAGUGAAAUUGAACUCGCUGUGAAGAUGCAGUGUACCCGCGGCAAGACGGAAAGACCCCGUGAACCUUUACUAUAGCUUGACACUGAACAUUGAGCCUUGAUGUGUAGGAUAGGUGGGAGGCUUUGAAGUGUGGACGCCAGUCUGCAUGGAGCCGACCUUGAAAUACCACCCUUUAAUGUUUGAUGUUCUAACGUUGACCCGUAAUCCGGGUUGCGGACAGUGUCUGGUGGGUAGUUUGACUGGGGCGGUCUCCUCCUAAAGAGUAACGGAGGAGCACGAAGGUUGGCUAAUCCUGGUCGGACAUCAGGAGGUUAGUGCAAUGGCAUAAGCCAGCUUGACUGCGAGCGUGACGGCGCGAGCAGGUGCGAAAGCAGGUCAUAGUGAUCCGGUGGUUCUGAAUGGAAGGGCCAUCGCUCAACGGAUAAAAGGUACUCCGGGGAUAACAGGCUGAUACCGCCCAAGAGUUCAUAUCGACGGCGGUGUUUGGCACCUCGAUGUCGGCUCAUCACAUCCUGGGGCUGAAGUAGGUCCCAAGGGUAUGGCUGUUCGCCAUUUAAAGUGGUACGCGAGCUGGGUUUAGAACGUCGUGAGACAGUUCGGUCCCUAUCUGCCGUGGGCGCUGGAGAACUGAGGGGGGCUGCUCCUAGUACGAGAGGACCGGAGUGGACGCAUCACUGGUGUUCGGGUUGUCAUGCCAAUGGCACUGCCCGGUAGCUAAAUGCGGAAGAGAUAAGUGCUGAAAGCAUCUAAGCACGAAACUUGCCCCGAGAUGAGUUCUCCCUGACUCCUUGAGAGUCCUGAAGGAACGUUGAAGACGACGACGUUGAUAGGCCGGGUGUGUAAGCGCAGCGAUGCGUUGAGCUAACCGGUACUAAUGAACCGUGAGG